UUCAGAUUGCAGGCUGCAACCCGCCUGCAUGAAGUCGGAAUUGCUAGUAAUCGCGGAUCAGCAUGCCGCGGUGAAUACGUUCCCGGGCCUUGUACACACCGCCCGUCACACCAUGGGAGCCGGUAAUACCCGAAGUCAGUAGUCCAACCUCGUGAGGACGCUGCCGAAGGUAGGAUUGGCGACUGGGGUGAAGUCGUAACAAGGUAGC
rnacentral:rRNA from 1 species